GAGGUGUGAGAAAAGAAAGUGUGAUACCACAGAGGAAAUUGAAGAUGAAUUCCUAAACUUGGGCUUUCAGUGGGCAAAGAAUCUUAGAUAUAUCUUUUGUACUCCCCUGUGUACUGGAGGUAAAAGUGCCUGAAUUCCUAAAAGUGAGCUUUGAGUAGAC
rnacentral:lncRNA from 1 species